rnacentral:rRNA from 1 species
AAUAGGACAUUACCAAUAUGACGGCGGGCUGGAACCUCUCGGGGUUACAGCCUUGCUGAAUUAUUCACCCUUGUCUUUUGCGUACUUCUUGUUUCCUUGGUGGGUUCGCCCACCACUAGGACAAACAUAAACCUUUUGUAAUUGCAAUCAGCGUCAGUAACAAAUUAAUAAUUACAACUUUCAACAACGGAUCUCUUGGUUCUGGCAUCGAUGAAGAACGCAGCGAAAUGCGAUAAGUAGUGUGAAUUGCAGAAUUCAAUGAAUCAUCGAAUCUUUGAACGCACAUUGCGCCCUUUGGUAUUCCAAAGGGCAUGCCUGUUCGAGCGUCAUUUGUACCCUCAAGCUUUGCUUGGUGGUGGGCGUCUUGUCUCUAGCUUUGCUGGAGACUCGCCUUAAAGUAAUUGGCAGCCGGCCUACUGGUUUCGGAGCGCAACACAAGUCGCACUCUCUAUCAGACAAGGUCUAGCAUCCAUUAAGCCU